CUGUUGGUCCUCUUCACAUGUAAAUUUAUAAGGUUAUGCAACAGCUUCUGCAAUUACUAUUUUUCUUUUUGUGUGCAGAAUUUUCCCUGUGUCCCAUAACUAAGUUUCCUUUCAAGUCUGGGAUAAGCCUAUGCUUGGUUUUGGAUGCUUUCUGCCUUCAGUCUUACUGUCUUCUGUACUACUACCAUGAAGAUGCAGAAAUUUAGUCUACUGGAAACAGUGAUGAUCUUGAAAUGCUGUUAUCAGAGUCAGCAAGAAGAAAUAGAUUGUUG
rnacentral:lncRNA from 1 species